rnacentral:rRNA from 1 species
GACAGAGGGUGCAAACGUUGUUCGGAAUUACUGGGCGUAAAGCGAGUGUAGGCGGUCUGUAAAGUCGGGUGUGAAAGCCCCGGGCUCAACCCGGGAAGUGCACUCGAAACUCACAGGCUAGAGUAUCGGAGAGGUUGGUGGAAUUCUCGGUGUAGAGGUGAAAUUCGUAGAUAUCGAGAGGAACACCGGUGGCGAAGGCGGCCAACUGGACGAAUACUGACGCUGAGGCACGAAAGCGUGGGGAGCAAACAGG